rnacentral:rRNA from 1 species
AUUGAACACUGGUGGCAUGCCUUACACAUGCAAGUCGAACGGCAGCACGGGUGCUUGCACCUGGUGGCGAGUGGCGAACGGGUGAGUAAUAUAUCGGAACGUACCUUAUCGUGGGGGAUAACGCAGCGAAAGCUGCGCUAAUACCGCAUACGCCCUGAGGGGGAAANCGGGGGACCGUAAGGCCUCGCGCGAUUAGAGCGGCCGAUAUCUGAUUAGCUUGUUGGUGGGGUAAAAGCCCACCAAGGCGACGAUCAGUAGCUGGUCUGAGAGGACGAUCAGCCACACUGGGACUGAGACACGGCCCAGACUCCUACGGGAGGCAGCAGUGGGGAAUUUUGGACAAUGGGGGGCAACCCUGAUCCAGCAAUGCCGCGUGAGUGAAGAAGGCCUUCGGGUUGGUAAAGACGUCUUUGUUCAGGGAAGAAACAGCAGCUCUAACACAGACUGCGAAUGACGGUACC